rnacentral:lncRNA from 1 species
GCUCAAGGCUUCUGAGUUCUGGAUGGCUCCAGGUGUAGUCGCCGGUCGGAGUGCUCAAGGGCCCAGGGCCCAGAGCAGUGGCUGUGGAGCUUCCAGUCGGAACUAGGCUGUCUUCGAGUGGUGGCCGUGAGCCCUGCCAACAUUAGUCGGGGAGAGAGGAGGGAGGUUUUCCUGUCGGUGCCAGGCCUGCCAUCUCUCUGGCCAGAGGAGUCAUAUUUCUGCUACUUUGGGGACCAACAGAGUCCUGCUCUACUGACCAGUUCUGGUGUGAUGUGUCCCUCCCCAGACCCUAGUGAGGCUCCAGUGCUGCAGAGAGGAGCCGACCAUAUCUCCGUGAAUGUGGAGCUCAGGUUUGGUGCUGUGGUGAUCGCCAACACCUCCCUCUCGUUCUAUGACUGCAUGGCGGUUACCGAGUUUUUCCCGUCUGCACC